GUGUCAGCAGCCGCGGUAAUACGUAGGUGGCAAGCGUUGUCCGGAAUUACUGGGUGUAAAGGGCGUGUAGGCGGGAAUGCAAGUCAGAUGUGAAAUUCCGGGGCUCAACCCCGGCGCUGCAUCUGAAACUGUGUUUCUUGAGUGCUGGAGAGGAAAGCGGAAUUCCUAGUGUAGCGGUGAAAUGCGUAGAUAUUAGGAGGAACACCAGUGGCGAAGGCGGCUUUCUGGACAGUAACUGACGCUGAGGCGCGAAAGCGUGGGGAGCAAACAGGAUUAGAUACCCUGGUAGUCCACGCCGUAAACGAUGGAUACUAGGUGUAGGAGGUAUCGACCCCUUCUGUGCCGGAGUUAACACAAUAAGUAUCCCACCUGGGGAGUACGGCCGCAAGGUUGAA
rnacentral:rRNA from 1 species